GGCUGUAGCUCAGUGGCAGAGAGCUUGCUUUGCAUGCAGAAGUUCCCAGGUUCAAUACCUGGGAAGGUGGGUCA